rnacentral:rRNA from 1 species
UACGGAGGAUCCGAGCGUUAUCCGGAUUUAUUGGGUUUAAAGGGUGCGUAGGCGGCCUGUUAAGUCAGGGGUGAAAGACGGUAGCUCAACUAUCGCAGUGCCCUUGAUACUGAUGGGCUUGAAUGUACUAGAGGUAGGCGGAAUGUGACAAGUAGCGGUGAAAUGCAUAGAUAUGUCACAGAACACCAAUUGCGAAGGCAGCUUACUAUGGUAUUAUUAACGCUGAGGCACGAAAGCGUGGGGAUCAAACAGG